GCUUGGCUAGCUCAGUUGGUAGAGCAUCAGACUUUUAAUCUGAGGGUUCAAGUCCCUGGUCAGGCA
rnacentral:tRNA from 1 species